rnacentral:tRNA from 1 species
CUCUAGAUGACUGAAAGUAAGUAAUGGUCUCUUAAACCACUUAAUAGUAAUGUAACGCCUACUUCUAGCGG